rnacentral:rRNA from 1 species
ACGGGUGCGUAACGCGUAUGCAACCUACCUACAUCAGGGGGAUAGCCCUAGGAAACUGGGAUUAACACCGCAUAAUACUAGAUACGGCAUCGUAAUUAGUUGAAAUAUUUAUAGGAUGUAGAUGGGCAUGCGUAGGAUUAGCUAGUUGGUAAGGUAACGGCUUACCAAGGCUACGAUCCUUAGGGGCUCUGAGAGGAGUAUCCCCCACACUGACACUGAGAUACGGGCCAGACUCCUACGGGAGGCAGCAGUAGGGAAUAUUGGGCAAUGGAGGCAACUCUGACCCAGCCAUGCCGCGUGCAGGAAGACGGUCCUCUGGAUUGUAAACUGCUUUUGAAUGGGAGGAAUGUGUGGCUUGCGAGCUAUAAUGACGGUACCAUUAGAAUAAGCCACGGCUAACUACGUGCCAGCAGCCGCGGUAAUACGUAGGUGGCGAGCGUUAUCCGGAUUUAUUGGGUUUAAAGGGUGCGUAGGCGGCUUAAUAAGUCGGUGGUUAAAAGUAGCAGCUUAACUGUUUUACAUGCCAUCGAUACUGUUGAGCUUGAGAUAUUUGGAGGCAGCUAGAAUUUCCGGUGUAGCGGUGAAAUGCAUAGAUACCGGAAGGAAUACCAAUUGCGAAGGCAGGUUGCUACGAAUAAACUGACGCUGAUGCACGAAAGCGUGGGGAUCAAACAGGAUUAGAUACCCUGGUAGUCCACGCCGUAAACGAUGAUUACUAGUUGUUGGGGUUUAAGCCUCAGUGACCAAGGGGAAACCGAUAAGUAAUCCACCUGGGGAGUACGCCGGCAACGGUGAAACUCAAAGGAAUUGACGGGGG